AAAAGAAACGUGCAUACGGUCGGAUAAUACGGAAAAAUCGUAAAAUUUUAUUGUAAUUUAUUUCCGUCGUCCGUCGUUAUACGCGUUUGUAAUGCGCACUGCGACCGUCCGAUAUUAUUGGUCGUAUCGUGGCCGUUAAACGCGAUGCUUCGGCCGUAAUAUUAUUGCAGUCGCCGUACGGUUCGUGACCGACUUUGUAUGGGAUAGGGACACGGGUACGCCGCGCGCUACUAU